CAUUCAGUGAGAUUUCUCCCUAAUUAACUUGUCCCGUGAUCGUAAAGACACGGUUCCCAGUAGAGAACGAAAGUCAAAUAUCAUUGGAGGUAAAUCAAUAAGAACCUUCAUUAACGUUAGAGAAGCAUUGAGAAAAUUUAUCGAUAGCAAUUAAACCUUGAAGAAAAGAGGAAAAAAAUUAAACAUGAAAUUCAUUCUAUUUCAAAAACUACGCAAAUAAAAGCUGACAUCAUUAAAAUUUUCUGAAGUUCGCUGAGUGUGGUAGAUGGAGUUUUUGACCAUUACGUUUUGGGCAUGUAUACGAUUCCCAUGCACGAUUAAGCGUGUUAUUGCGUCAGGGGGCUGGGAGAUUGAUAAUACAGGGUGCCCACAGUCGGGUACCAAGGAAGAUAAUUCAUUCAAGUCUACAAUAUUUAAAUAGACGUUGGAGAAUAUUCAUGGACGGAGUAUUUGAUCGAGGUGGCUGUUAUAACAUUCCAUUGAUGUUUAGGCAGGGUGCUUGGUGACAUUGCUGUGCCAUUUUUGCGCUUCAUUUCAUCACAUUUUAUUCAGUGCAAAGUGAUGUUAAAAGAAACUCAUCUGUGCAUAACUGACAAAUUUGGUGGUGACAUUUGGUGUUGAACUGAAAAGAAAUUAAAUAAAUAAAUAAAACUGUAAAAAAUUUA